ACAGCGAGAACAUCAAAGACUUCAGAUUGAAAAACUGCCUAAAUGCAUAAACAAGUUCAAUUUACAAAAUGUCUAGCUGCCUAGCAGGUCCAGCGCGUCUUCCUUCUCUCACGAUCAACAGAGACUUGGGAAUUCUCUCACGUUUAAAAAUAAGAGUUGAAAAUACAUCAUAAAGUGAUCUAGUAAUCUAGAUAUAGAUAUAGUAUUUGCAAUUAAUAUUGUUAUUAAACUCAGUAAGUUCUAAGAAUGAUUAAUCUAGGACUUUGCCGAUCUGUUUUGCGUCUUCAAAAAAUUUAACUUGAAUUAAUUAAUUAAUCAACCCAAUCAAAACCUAUUUAUAGUUUUUAUAAAAUAAAAUAUUAUUCCAGAUUAAUAUAUCCAACUCGUAACUCGAAUCUUAUAUAAAGUUAACCUUCAAAUCAGGAUUAAUAAAUGUAUUUAGCAACUAGUUACACACCCUUGCUUAGGAUAUUGAUUGAUCAAGUAUCUUUAAUUUCUCCAUAACAUGCAUAGUGAAAAUUUGAUGAAUAAAAGCACAGGCUUAAAUUUUGAUUAAAAAUGAAUCACAGUCAAAAUGUCACUGGUAAAUGUGUGCAUAUUAUGAUUAAAAAGGCACUGGCUUAAAUUUUGACCUUAUAUAUGCACAGGUUGUUCUAGUAGGUCAAUGAAAACGAUAAUAUAAUAUAAUAUAAUUGAAAACUUUUUUAAUUGUAACAUGAAAAUGAGAGAUAUAGUUAUUAAAUUCACCUGGAGGUAAGAUUUGGAUUAUUAAUUAGAAGGUUAACUCAAUUUAACCAUAAUCUUUUAAAAAAAAUGUAUUAAAAAAUAAUAUAUUUUUAAAAAAUCAACAUAUUUUUAAUUAUAUUUAAUUAGAUUUUACCAAGUCAACCCAAGUUUUUUAUCAAAUCAUACCAUAUCAUUCUAUCUUUUAUUUUUUUGUGAAACAUGGCCUAGUAUAUGCCUGGGUUCGGCCCGCCUAAAUGGUCUGAUUUUAUAAUAGUAGCCAAUAUUACUCGUCCAAAUAGAACCUACAAAAUUUAUUUCUAUAGAGAUACAUUGAUUAAUUAUUCAAAAACUUGAAGAUUUUCAAUUAAUUUGUUUUAUAUGUACAUAUGAUACAUUAGCAUAUAAAUUUACAGAACUAUUAAUGAAAUAAUGUUCAUAUUAAUGAUCCCAAAAUAAAUAUAUGAAAUGAAAACAAUACAAUACAAUUGUAAUCAUGGAAAAAGUUCCAGGAUUAUAUCAGUAGGACCUGCUGGAUGGCCUCAAUACAAUUUGCAGCAGCAUAGCAACGAAGCAGGUGGAUCACAGAGUGAAAAGCAAUUAGGAUUCUCAGGAUCAACGCUCUAAUAUCUUUAAGAGGCCAAAAUUGUAACAAGAAACAUACCAUUAUCGGGGGAGGGAGGAGAUCGAAGAACUAAGGGAAAAGAAUUAUCAGAGACACGAAAUGGGAAGUAAGAGAGAAUAUGGGAGGGAUAAAACAUACAUGGUAUGCCACCUCUAGGGACAAACGUUGAUUGAUAUUAAUUGCAUCAUGCAUAUAGAUUGCAACAAGCUUAAAAUUUGUCACAGAUAGUGCUUUCUUGUGCUCUAUAUAUAACACAGAUAGCACUUCCAUUAACAGAGUCCAUUCAACAAGAAAAAGAAAUAUAGCACUUCCAUUAACAGAGUCCAUUCAACAAGAAAAAGAAAUCUAGGAGGUCUCACCAGAGCAGCAGAGAAGAAAUAAUAUGGUUUUUUGUCUCAUUACUUCCAUCUUCUUCAUGAAACAAGCCAAAAUUUGGCGCUUGAUUUUUCCUCUAAUUGGUGGGAGCAACUUCCGGCUGCUGCCUUCUUUUUGGACUAAUCCUUGCUUAGUGGAUCCUAAAGCCAUUGACGAAGCCCCAAGCUUCCUGUUCUCCUUUCUCAGUUUACCAAAUGCAAACAAAAUUGAAGUAUAGAGGGAAUUAGGGAAAAUCCAAAAAGUUCUGUUAAAGUUGGUUUGGUUAGUACUGUCUUCGUGGCUAGGAAUGAAGUCCUUAAUCUGCAUGAGUAUUAAUUAGUAGGGCUAGAGAAUUGCUGCGACCACCACUGUUUUUACUAUUCCAAUUAAAAAAAAUUCUUACAUUGACACAUGGUUGCCUCGAUAGGAGGCGGCAUAUAGUGAGACUGGUCACUGGAAGCAGCAAAAACAAAUUAAGCAGAAAUGUAAUUGUGAAUAGCACGGAAAACACAAAGAAAUGAUAGGGAAAUUGCAGUACAAAAGGUCCCACAUCAUAUUAAUUUAUUAUAUUUCCUGGUAAAUUGAUGUUUUUAAUUGUGAAAUGAAUUUUUUUAUUUUAAUAUAUUAGAAAUUAAAAUAUAUAGUUUAGUGUCAUAAAGUCAUUUGAUAAGUGAAUAAGACCCCUGGAGGAUUACUCUAAUCGACGACUAAUGAGUUUGCCAUAGACUGGGCAAAUAUAUAAAAACAAGUUAAAUUAUUGUAAAUAAACUAGUCCCAUCAAGUAUUUAUGACCUAUUUAAGAUCAAAAUCUUGUUAAGAAGUUAUUUAGUCUUGUGUUUGCUCGGUGGAGUAGUAUGAUUUUUAAUUAAAAGUAUUUUUUAUUUAAAAAUAUAUUAAAAUAAUAUUUUUAUUAUUUUUAAUAUUAUUAUGUUAAAAUCAUUAUAAAAAUUUUAAUUUAAAAACUUUACAUGAUUACCCAGGAGUAUGUUGUCAUGCCCAGCUAAGCUAUGCAUAUUGCCCAGCAGCACUGGCUUGGAUUCAAUAUAUUUAGGUCCAGAUAGGUCAUCUAAAUUUAUUUUCACCUUUCUUAGAAUUUUUUUCUAGGAUUUUAUGGAAUCUUUUAGUAUUUUUUACUAAUUCUAUACAUAUUAGUUUGAGUAAAAUAAAACUCAAAAUAUUACAAUGAUAAAAUUAAUUACAUUCAUCCUUUUCUUUUCAUAAAAAAAUAAAGUUCAUGAGUUAUAAAUAUACUAUGAACCCUUCCUUCAAACUAAAUGUUUAUCAUUUUUUUAUUUUUAAUAUUUUUAGCAAAUAUAUUUUUAAAAUUUUUUUUAAAAAAAUAUCAUUAUCAUUGUACUUUUUCUUUUUAAUUUGUGGCUACCACUUAACCAGCCAUACGUUGUACUCAUCAGAGAAAACUGAAGGUAAUUUCCUUACGUCAUUGCUUACUCAAAUCAUGGAGACAAGAACCCUACUUGUCAAAUUUGAAUUUUCUUUAUUUUAACGGGAAAACUUAGACGACAAUAAUUUUUUCCAGCGCGUCUUACUUCUCUCACGAUCAACAGAGACUUUGGGAAUUCUCUCACGUUUAAAAGUAAGAGUUGAAAAUACUUCAGAAAAUGAUCUAGUAAUCUUGAUAUCAAUACAUUUCUAAAGAUGAUUAAUUUAGGACUCGGCUGAUUUGUUUUGAGUUUUUAAAAAAAUUAUUUUGAUUUAAUCAAUCGAAACAGUCAAAACUCGUUGAUGGAUUUAAAAAAAAAUUAAAAAUAUUAUUUUAAUAAUUAAAAAAUUAAAAAUUUAAUAAAUAUGUUUAGCAACUAGUUACACACCCUUGCUUGCUUAGGAUAUUGAUUGAUCAAGUAUCUUUCUCCAUAACAUGCAUAAUGAAAAUUUGAUGAAUAAAAGCACAGGCUUAAAUUUUGAUUAAAAAUGAAUCACAGUCAAAAUGUCACUGGUAAAUGUGUGCAUAUUAUGAUUAAAAAGGCACUGGCUUAAAUUUUGACCUAAUCUAUGCACCGGUUGUUCUAGUAGGUCAAUGAAAACGAUAAUAUAAUAUAAUUGAAAACUUUUUUAAAUAUUGUAACAUGAAAACGAGAGAUAUGAACAAUCAACUUUUGGCUAAAGUCAUGAACUGGUGUGAAAUGAAGCUUUACAUCUAGAAAAUCAAACUUUUUUAUGAUAAAAGAAAAAAAAUCGCAUUUAUCAUUGAAUGGUAUUGCUGCUUAAUUAUUGCGCUAAAUCCUAUAUAUAUUUAGAAGUGCCGUCCGUCUAAUAAAGAUAGGUUAAAAUUCAAUUUUUUUAUAUUUAAAAUUAAUUUUUUUUAUAAUUUUAGAUUGUCUUGAUGUGUUAUAAUAUCAAAAAUACAUUUAAAAAAAUAAAAAAUAUAUAUUAUUUUAAUACAUUUCUAAAUAAAAAGCCUCAAAACCUUUAAUUCUUCAAUCCUAAAGUGUAUAUAUAUAUUUAAUAAAGAUAGGUAUUUCAUUAAAUUGAAAUUGAGAAAAGCUUAUACAUCUAGAUAAGAAGUCAACAAAGAUAUAAUAUAUAUAUAUAUAUAUAUAUAUAUAAUAAAGAUAGGUAUUUCAUUAAAUUGAAAUUGAGAAAAGCUUAUACAUCUAGAUAAGAAGUCAACAAAGAUAUAAUAUAUAUAUAUAUAUAUAUAUAUAUAUAUAUAUAUAUAUAUAUAUAUAUUUUUAAUAAAGAUAGGUAUUUCAUUAAAUUGAAAUUGAGAAAAGCUUAUACAUCUAGAUAAGAAGUCAACAAAGAUAUAAGUGAUAAAAGGUGUCAAAAUAAAACAUACGAUAGAAAUUUUACAACGAAAACUAAAUAUUUAAAAUUCAGAUAUUAAAAACUAAGGGAAAAUUAAAAACAUACGAUAAAAAUUUUACAAAGAAAACAAAAUAUUUAAAAUCCAUAAUUUCCUUUCUCUUUAAUUACCUAUACAUUCUUUUACUGUUUAAUUAUCUCUUUAGCUCAUGGUUUCUGCAGUGGGUAUCCAACAAUAUGAGAGAAAAAAAAAUGGAAGAUUGAAAACAAAGAAGAAGAAAAAGAAGAAGAAAGGAGAUAGCAAUAGCAAGAGAAAAGCAAGGGAAAGCUUUUGAGCAUAAUAAUAAUUAUGACCAUGAAAUUGCUUCAUCUUUUGGUGAAGGUUGCGGUGGUUAGUUUAGGAGUUNNNNNNNNNNNNNNNNNNNNNNNNNNNNNNNNNNNNNNNNNNNNNNNNNNNNNNNNNNNNNNNNNNNNNNNNNNNNNNNNNNNNNNNNNNNNNNNNNNNNNNNNNNNNNNNNNNNNNNNNNNNNNNNNNNNNNNNNNNNNNNNNNNNNNNNNNNNNNNNNNNNNNNNNNNNNNNNNNNNUUCAUUUUAAUACAUUUCUAAACGAAAAACACUUCAAACCACCACCACUACCACAAUCUCAAACAGGCAGUAUAUUUACAGUUUGAUUCAUUCCUUUAUAUGGGCCUAGAGAAUUGUUUUUCCGUUUAUGUAGGAAAUCGUGGGCUUUAAAAGAUAAAAGAGUUUUACAAGCUGUCUGUGGUAGUAGUUGUUUUUUGAAGUAUUUUUUGUCUAGAAAUGCAUCAAAAUAAUAUAUUUGUUUUUAUUUUUAAAAAUUUAUUUUGACAUUAAUACAUCAAAAUAAUCCAAAAAAUAUAAAAAAUAACUUUAAACUAAAAAAAUAAUUUUUCACAAACCUCUAUUUAAGCUGCAUUUCUAAACCAGGUCGUGUGUUUGGUAUUGCGGUAGCUGUUGUGGUUGUGGUUGGAAAAAAGUUAUUUUAUAAAAAGUACUUUUAGUUGAGGUUGGUUUGGAAAAAUAUAUGUUUAGUUAAAACUGUGGUUGAAAUUGAGGUUGAACAAAAAGUAGUUUAAUGUGUUUGGUUAAAAGAAUGCUUUUCAAAUUAAGAUUAUAAAAUAAUUAAUAUAUAUAUAUAUAUAUAUUGAUGAUUUUUAAUUUAAAUAUUAUAGAUUUAACUAAUAUUAUUACACCAUGAAAUAAAUAAUAUUGAUAUCAAAUAUUUUUUAUUAUUCCAUUAAAUUAUGUGCAAUUUCAUCACAUACGAAAUCUAUCCAACAAGGACUAUAUUUUCAAUGGUUUCUUAAGCGCGCAACAACAAAAACUGAAUUUUUUGUUACGUCAUCAAGUGAUCUCCUUCUAAUUUUUUGAAUAAAACACAAUUAAAAAUAAAAAUAAAAACUGAAUUUUUUUUAAUUGGGUCGGACCCGGCAAGAACAUAAUUGGAAUAUCGAUCAAAUUCCGCAAAUGCUACGUCAUCAUGCGAUGUCCUUCUAAUUUAUGUUGUGUUAUUAAAUAAUAUUAAAAACUAGUUUUUCGAAUAAAACACAAUUUUUUAAAAAAAUUACCGGGUCGGACGCAGUCCAAUCAACAUUUGAAACAUUAUUUACGUGAACAGUGCCAAGUGAAUCAGCACUGUUCACUUCAAGGGCACUGUUCACUCUUGAAGUGAACAGUACCAGGUGAAUUAAUUCCCCAGGGCAUUGUUCACUUCGAGAGUGAAAAGUGCCCAGGUGAAUUAAUUCACCUGGUCACAGACGCGGCCACGCACGAACCAGUGGUUUUAAUAGGCCCUACAUGCACAGUAUUUUGUGUUUUAUUAUUAUCAAAUAUAUUGUUUACGUGGUCGGCUUCGUAGUUGGUAGGCUUUGACUUAAAAGAAAAAAAAUCAAUUUGAAUUAAUCUUCUCAACUCGUGAUUGAAUCCUUAUUCUAGGUCAAUAAAUAAGUUGGAUUUUAUAACUAUGCUGCAAAGCAGAAUGGAAAUUUCAGGUUUUGCAUGUAUUGAUCACUGUUUGAAACUAAGAAAUCGGCGCCGACCAGGCAAUUUGGUCAAAGGAACACUUAUUUUAUUAUCUUAUAAUUUAUUCUCUUUUUUUGAAAAGUACAAGGUAGUCUCUUGAUUAAUCUUUAUUUGAAAUUUAUAAAUUAAUUUCUCAAAUUCAUUUUUAAUUUUGCAUGUAGCUGGUAAGAUUGGGAGAUUUAAUUAUGAAGAGUAUUUAAUAAAAAAAACAAUUUGACUGCGAUGAAAAUCAACACAAGAACACAGUAAUAUAAAAGCAAGAGAAAACGAAGGAAAGAAAAAAAAACAAGAUCAGGCCUUAAACUAAGAAAAAUAACAAAAAAAAAAAAGAAGAUAAAUAUGAUAAAAAAAAAAAAACUAACUUUGGGAUUAUUGAGAAAAUAAAAACAAAGAAGAAAGGCUUUGUCGCCAGUGACAACAACGAUGACAGGCAGCAGCCCGCAAUAAAAUCGUACGAAAAAUAAGUCAAAUUAGAGAUAGAAUAGAGGAGAAAAAGAGGAGAGUUUAUUUUAUAAAAUUGAUAAAUUUUUAAUCCUUCCUUUUUUAAUUCCUGAAUGAAUAAGUACAUGUUUGGAAUUAAAAUAUUUGUUUGAACACAAUAAAAACUUAAAAUCAGAGAUUUAUUUUCUUUUUAUUAUAUAAGUCAUAAUUAAGAUAUAGUAUUUGGUAAAAAAAAAACACAUUAUAUAAAAAUUUUAUUUUAUAUUAUUUAAGGUUUUAUGUGAUGCAUACAAAAGCUUAUAUAUAAUGGGAAAAUGGGAUUAAUAAGAAUUGUAUUAAUGUUUUAAGCUAAUUAUUAAUUAGAAAUAGAGUUGAGUUUACAUAUUAUUUUUUUUUUUUUAUAGAGAAACAUGUAUAAAAUAAAGACAUGGUUAAUUAAGCUUUUAUUGAAUUUAUAUAUUAGUAUUGACACAUAUUUUUUAUUGUCUUAUAGUUUUCUUACAUGUAUAAUUCCAAAACUUGACCCAAAAUAAUGUUCAGGUUACGGAUAUUGAGAGUUAAUCCGGCCGCCGGGUCUACCUUUAAAUUUUCUAUCCAGUACUCUUGACAAAAAAGAUAUGCAGAAGACAUCCUAAGACCAAGACAGACUUCAUCGCAUAGGUCAAGAAACAAUAUAUAGAACAAAAAGAAAAAUUAAACAAAAUUAAAUCCAUACAAACAAAAGAGGAGCCUUGGCAAAAUAAUUCUAUACAAUUCAAAGUCGUAACAUGGAUUGCGUGAUGACAGGAAGGCAGCUAGUGAUCUUUUAAUUCCCAGAUUUUUUUAUAGUUAUUAAACUGCCAUGAUUUUACGGGUGAAUUCAGUGAUUUGUGAACUCGAGUCAGGUUUUUUAAAACCAAAUUGGACAAUGUUUCUAUUAUUUUGAGAAAAAUCUAUGUUAACCCUAAUUAAUUCGUGAUCUGAACUUGAAACAACUCCCGAGCAGAGGUAUGGUGACUAUGGCAUUUUCAACCUAUAAUUUAGGAAGCAAGAAACAUUUGAAAAAGAAAAAAAAAGCUUGAUCAAGGUUUCAAAUAUCAAGAACUUCAAUGGUAAUUCUUGGUAACACGUUGAUAAAAUCUAAUUACAACUACGCAGAGCAAUAACAGAAACGGUACUGUUAUAUAUCCAUGUACUCAGGAAAAGGUCUCGCUUUCUCUUCUCCAUCUACUAAAACGCUUUAGAAUUCUGCGACCAAAUCUUGUAAACUGCGAAUAAGAUCAACCAUGUCACAAUUGAUAUCAUGCUUGCUCUUGUGCCCUUCUCUAUACAAUUUGAAUUCAUGGAGAAAAACUUUUAAGCUUUUCUUAUACAGUCUGACGAACAAAAGAGCAUCUUCCAUGUGUUCCGGCAAAGGUCGACUCGCUUUUUCUUCAUCAUCUUUUAACAUGAUUUCGAACUCUUCAACCAAAUCUUGAUAACCAUGAAGAAGAUUAACCAUGUCACAGUUGAGGUCAUGUUUGCUCUUGUGCCCUUUUUCGUACAAUUUGAAUCCAGGGAGAAAAUCUUGUAAGCGUUUCUUGAAAAUACUGACAAAAAAUGGAGCCGCUUCCAUAUUCCCUAGAAUCCAAGAAUCAAGACCUAUAUAAUUGUGCUCUCUUGAUUAAAUCUUGCUUCAAUAAACCCUUUUAAUUUGUUAUCUAAAGUAUUGUUCUUUUGGUUCAUAUAGGAGAGGGAGAUGUUGUACAAAUAGGAUCCUGAUGGGAGAGGGAGUUUUACUACUCACAAAUUAAGUAUCCUGGUUAAGCACAAAUUCUAUUCAAUAAUGCGAACACCAUCUUAAAAUCGGGCUGAGUUUAAAGUUAAAUUAGAAAAUACAUUAAGCUAAUUUCAAGUUAAUUUUCCGAAUUACUCGUGACCUCUCCUUAAUUAUUUUGUGAUUAAAGUAAAAAAUUACUUUAUCAUUUUCUUUUUUUUUGUUUUGGCAUCCAAUUUUGAAUUGAUGUUGCUUAUUGCUCUUAUCAUUCUUUUACAGGAUUCCUUAAUUACUUAAGUUUUGUGAUUUUUCUACCUCAUGUUAUAAGACUUCUCUCACCAUUUUAUCUCUCUCUAACAUUGGACUUUACAAUGGCAUGAGUUAAUCUUUCAUUUAGUGUCAUAAUCUAUUAUAAUGAUUUUCAAUUAUAUUCAUCUUUAGUCUAUGUUUUUCCUUAAUUUCUUAAUAAAAAUACAUAUAUGUCUCUCUUUAAGUUAGCUUCUUCCAUCUCUCUUCUACACUCAUGAACAUGUACAUGUUCUUCUUCUUUGUUUUUAAAAUUUAUCCCUUAAAAAAAUUGAUUCUCUAUUUCCUUCUUUUACAUAACAUGGGCAUUCAUUAAUUCUUCUCUUUCUUCUAAGUUUUCUAGUAAUUUUAAUCUUUUCAGUGCCAUAAUUUUAAAAAAAUAAAUAUGACACUGUCAUUAUAGUUACCGUUUCAAGUUCUUUUAUACAUGAUUUAACUAAGAGUAAUUUGAAUUUCUAAGUUGAAUAUUAAGAAUUAAUCACUUGAUGAAAGUAUUAAAUAGUAACUGAAAUUCAAGAACAAGAAAAAUUAUUGCAAAUAGAACUUGUAAUCAUGAAGUUAUUCUUUAUCUGAGUGGGAUUUUUUAUAAGAAAACAUUUUUUUAUUAUUUUUUGGUUUAAGAAAGCUAUUGUCUACUAAUAAAUUCCUACAAUUACAACCCUAUUGUUUAUCAGCCUACGAGAUUAUAAGUCUACUUAAUAAAUAGGUUUUGAGAUCAUGUAAACUUGGUUGAAUUGCAGAGUAAUUACUAUUAUUGUUUUGUUGAAUUGUUAGUAUUCUUAUUUUGCCUUGCAUUAUUUUUUAAAUAUAAGUAUUCAAGUAACUUCCAGUAACUGUUCAUUCAUCUUAUUUUCUUUAAGGUAACUUUUAGUUACUGUUCACUCACUUUAUUGAAUUUUUUUUUUUUUAAGAUCUUUCAUCAUGUCAACUCUUUAUAUCUUUAUUUCAUCACCCAUUUUAUUAUCAUUUGCCCAAAACUAUCAAAGCCCAACUCUAUUACAUGUUUGAGGUGACCUGUCAUAUAUAUAGUUUUAAAAUCCGAUUUAGUUCAAUGAAUUGGUCCGGGACCCGGUUGAUUCAGGACUGGAACUGAGCUGGGGUUAAAAAAAAUAAAGAAAGUAAAAAACAUGGGUGACUCGACUAACCGGGUGUGUUGGCCCGGAAAAACCUGGUCAAAAACUUGAUUGCAACCCGUUGACUAUUUAUUUUUUUAACCAAAACGAUAUCAUUUUGAUUUAUAAAAAAAUUGGAGUUGACCCGGAUAACCUGGUGACCCAGGAAAAACCCGUGACCCGAGCCUUGGGUCGGGUUAAAAUCACUGAAGUUGACCCAACCAAGUAUCAUUCAGUCUUGGUUGAAUCAACUAGGUUACAAGUUGUAUCAAGUCAUCCGGAUUUUACCAAGUUAAUUUCCUAAAGUUAGCGGGUUACUGGGUAGACUUGUCAGGCUAGGAUUGAUAUUGUUAAAAACCAUGGCAUAGACUCGCCAAGUGGGGAAAAUUGGUUCUUAACAUAGGAAGCAUGCGCUACAGCGAGAACAUCAAAGACUUCAGAUUGAAAAACUGCCUAAAUGGAUAAACAAGUUCAAUUUACAAAAUGUCUAGCUGCCUAGCAGGUCCGCUUGAUGACUUGCAUGACUACAACAGCUAAAUGGUUCAACACGAAUUAGGAAGCUGAGUAAAUCUUUUCUUUGUAUUGAGACAAUCGUGAAUUACAUACAUCAUUCCUCCGAAAAUGUCCAGCUCCAGAAUGGAAACUAUUUCU
rnacentral:lncRNA from 1 species